rnacentral:rRNA from 1 species
UACGAAGGGGGCAAGCGUUGUUCGGAAUUACUGGGCGUAAAGGGCGCGUAGGCGGCCGAUCAAGUCAGGCGUGAAAUUCCCGGGCUCAACCUGGGGGCUGCGCUUGAUACUGAUUGGCUUGAAUGCGGGAGAGGAUAGUGGAAUUCCCAGUGUAGAGGUGAAAUUCGUAGAUAUUGGGAAGAACACCGGUGGCGAAGGCGGCUAUCUGGCCCGUAAUUGACGCUGUGGCGCGAAAGCGUGGGGAGCAAACAGG